CCUACGGGGUGCUGCAGUGGGGAAUAUUGGACAAUGGGCGAAAGCCUGAUCCAGCCAUGCCGCGUGUGUGAAGAAGGCCUUCGGGUUGUAAAGCACUUUCAGUGGGGAAGAAAGCCUUGGGGCUAAUACCCUCGAGGAAGGACAUCACCCACAGAAGAAACACCGGCUAACUCCGUGCCAGCAGCCGCGGUAAUACGGAGGGUGCGAGCGUUAAUCGGAAUUACUGGGCGUAAAGCGCGCGUAGGCGGUCUGAUAAGCCGGUUGUGAAAGCCCCGGGCUCAACCUGGGAACGGCAUCCGGAACUGUCAGGCUAGAGUGCAGGAGAGGAAGGUAGAAUUCCCGGUGUAGCGGUGAAAUGCGUAGAGAUCGGGAGGAAUACCAGUGGCGAAGGCGGCCUUCUGGACUGACACUGACGCUGAGGUGCGAAAGCGUGGGUAGCAAACAGGAUUAGAUACCCCUGUAGUC
rnacentral:rRNA from 1 species